rnacentral:rRNA from 1 species
GGGCUUCUCCUUCGGGAGCAGAGUGACAGGUGGUGCAUGGUUGUCGUCAGCUCGUGUCGUGAGAUGUUGGGUUAAGUCCCGCAACGAGCGCAACCCUUGAUCUUAGUUGCCAUCAUUAAGUUGGGCACUCUAAGGUGACUGCCGGUGACAAACCGGAGGAAGGUGGGGAUGACGUCAAAUCAUCAUGCCCCUUAUGACCUGGGCUACACACGUGCUACAAUGGACGGUACAAAGAGCUGCAAGACCGCGAGGUGGAGCUAAUCUCAUAAAACCGUUCUCAGUUCGGAUUGUAGGCUGCAACUCGCCUACAUGAAGCUGGAAUCGCUAGUAAUCGCGGAUCAGCAUGCCGCGGUGAAUACGUUCCCGGGCCUUGUACACACCG